rnacentral:rRNA from 1 species
CCUACGGGCGGCAGCAGUCGAGAAUCAUUCACAAUGGGGGAAACCCUGAUGGUGCGACGCCGCGUGGGGGAAUGAAGGUCUUCGGAUUGUAAACCCCUGUCAUGUGGGAGCAAAUUAAAAAGAUAGUACCACAAGAGGAAGAGACGGCUAACUCUGUGCCAGCAGCCGCGGUAAUACAGAGGUCUCAAGCGUUGUUCGGAAUCACUGGGCGUAAAGCGUGCGUAGGCUGUUUCGUAAGUCGUGUGUGAGAGGCGCGGGCGCAACCCGCGGACGGCACAUGAUACUGCGAGACUAGAGUAAUGGAGGGGGAACCGGAAUUCUCGGUGUAGCAGUGAAAUGCGUAGAUAUCGAGAGGAACACUCGUGGCGAAGGCGGGUUCCUGGACAUUAACUGACGCUGAGGCACGAAGGCCAGGGGAGCGAAAGGGAUUAGAUACCCCAGUAGUC